UUGGAUGUUUCUUUGUUUUGUUUGGCGCUGAUGAAAACGGAGAGGGAAGUGCGUUUCGAGAGCGUUGUAGGAAGCAGGUUGGCCACGGAGACGGGGGAAGAACGGGGCUGGAGAGGUGCAGGACGGGGAGAAUGGAGGAGCUGCUCUAGAGGGAGCUGUUUACUGUGGGAUGACAACACUGCCUUUCUCCACCUCUCCCUAUCUCUCUGUCCCCCUUCCCUCCCUCUCUCUCUCUCUCUCUCUCUCUCUCUCUCUCUCUCUCUCUCUCUCUCUCUCUCUCUCUCUCUCUCUCUCUCUCUCUCUCUCUCUCUCUCUCUCUCUCCCCCCCCCCCCCCCCCAGAGGGCUUGGUGCUGCCCUUCCUGCAGGUUAUGAGGGGGUACGUGUGGUAUUGCGCUCCUCGGCUUCAGAGGUGUGUGAUAAGACUUCCCUAAUCCCUCUGUGUGUGUGUCCCCUCACCUGCGUCUUUUCAACACGCGCACACACACACACACGCACACACACACAGUCGCACACAUGCAAACAGGCACACACCGCCCACGGUUGUUUACACAAGGUUCACACAAUCGACCAGAGGAGAUGAGGAGCUGUCAGUCACAUAUCUCUUCUCAGAACAGGACUUGGAGGAAUGUAUCCGUCGUCGUGGAUACACCUGUGCUAUUGGCGGUUUCCUGCGGCAGUAUUAUGGGGUGUAAUCCCUGACAUCACCUGUGUUUAUCUCUGUGUGUUAGUUACAGGCCUGGGUGGUGCAUGCUUCAGAGCUUAGGUGGGACUUCUGCUUGGUUAGGUUGCUCAGUCAGCCCUUAGGCCCCAGCCUCCGCCGCCACACACACACAGACACACACACGUCAACAUGCAUAAACACACACACACACACACACAUACUAAAGUCAAUAUUAAUAGAUAAAUGCACAGAUUCAUCCACAACAUCAAAAAAUUAUCAGGUCUCAAUGAGGUGAAAAAAGUUUGUUUCUUUUACAUAACUGCCGUUGACUGCGUGCAGUAUCAGUUUGCAGAAUAAGUCUUCAUGCUGUAGAAUUUCACCCGAACAGUGUUAUUUUGAUGUCAGAUUGAAACCUAAAAUAAACCUAAUCGUACGGUACAUUAAACGGAGGCUAUUUCCUUAUGAACGUUGAGUAUUUGGUGAGUUUUUUUUAAAGUUGUUUUAUACGGUCAGUAUUUCGUCGUUAGUGACGUGGACUGAGGUCAUGGACAGGGAGGAGAAAGCCUGUAAUUUCUGCCAAUCACUAAACUCACUUUUUAUUUUAGGAAAUAGUCUAAAAAUAGACUCUGGCACGGCCAAAUGUUGCCCCAAACUCCCUCAGUGACACACAUCGAAGAAGUGACUCCACACAUCUGGCUUUUUUAUUAUAAAGAAAUCGCUCUCUUUUUUUUGUCCUCGUUCUUUUUUCCUCCUCCUUUUUUUUCUUCUUCUUCUUCUUUUCUUUCUGACAGCCGUCCACUCAAAUAAAUAAAUAAAAACUCUGCGGUUCUGUUUCUCAUUUGUAAGAUUUGUUGGGUGGAUUAGAUAGAAAGAGCCCUAAUUACAAGUAAAGGAAGGACACGCUUCAGCCGUCUUUAUGAAAACACUGUGUUCUGAAGUGAAAGGCAGGGAGCGGCGCGGCAUCACCCCUCAGUUGGCCCACCCCACCGGGCACUGCCCUGACCCAGCCGGGCUGGGGACAGAGCCCUCUCAGACCCCGGACCACCGGAUGAUUAACAAGGCCCGGUGUCCCUCCCAGAGGCCCGUACACCAACUGGAAUGAUGAUGACGAGGCAGGGUUUAGCAGAGGAUGACGGUGCUGGAUAUCUUGUAGAUCCAGUGCGGCGUUAAAGCCAUGUUGGAAUGUGUUCUAGUGAGGCCAGAUGGCAGGUCAGUGACAGCCUCCUCCCAUCAUCUUCUAAUGCUAUUUCAACCAGCGACCCUUGCUUGUCAAGCCAUGCUCGGCUCUACAGUAAAGUGGUCAAAGCGCUGGGCCGUGGUGCUGUGGUCUGCGGCUGUAAACCUCCUUGCAGGGCCAUCCCCACUAUAUGACUUAUUUUACCUCCGUUCCGCCAAAAAGCUCCCUGGCUGAAUAAAUGGUUAGGCAGGAGUUAAGCAUAUAUAAAGCAAUGUAACGCAAUACUGUUGGUGGGUCUGACAUUGGCCCAGCGGUACUGUAAAAGAAGUGACGUUUUACCUCGUGUUUUUUUUUUCUGUUUCUUUUUUCUUUCAACAGCCAAGGAAUCCAGAUUCCGGGAAUAAGACGUGCUCUCCUGUUUCUCAUGGAUUCUUGUGGAGAGACCAGAGUAGAGACCAGAGGCUGACCAAGAGAGACCAAGAGCAGAGACCAGAGGCUGACCUGUGAGAGACGAAGAGCAGAGACCAGAGGCCGACCUGUGAGAGACCAAGAGCAGAGACCAGAGGCUGACCUGCGAGAGACAAGAGCAGAGACCAGAGGCUGACCUGCGAGAGACCAGAGCAGAGACCAGAGGCUGACCUGCGAGAGACCAGAGCAGAGACCAGAGGCCGACCUGCGAGAGACCAGAGCAGAGACCAGAGGCUGACCUGCGAGAGACCAGAGCAGAGACCAGAGGCUGACCUGCGAGAGACCAGAGCAGAGAGACCAGAGGCUGACCUGCGAGAGACCAGAGCAGAGACCAGAGGCUGACCUGUGAGAGACCAAGAGCAGAGACCAGAGGCUGACCUGCGAGAGACCAGAGCAGAGACCAGAGGCUGACCUGUGAGAGACCAAGAGGAGAGACCAGAGGCUGACCUGUGAGAGACCAAGAGCAGAGACGAGAGGCUGACCUGCGAGUGACCAGAGCAGAGACCAGAGGCUGACCUGUGAGAGACCAAGAGCAGAGACCAGAGGCUGACCUGUGAGAGACCAAGAGCAGAGACCAGAGGCUGACCUGCGAGAGACCAAGAGCAGAGACCAGAGGCCGACCUGCGAGAGACCAGAGCAGAGACCAGAGGCCGACCUGCGAGAGACCAGAGCAGAGACCAGAGGCUGACCUGUGAGAGACCAAGAGCAGAGACCAGAGGCUGACCUGAGAGAGACCAAGAGGAGAGACCAGAGGCUGACCUGAGAGAGACCAGAGCAGAGACCAGAGGCUGACCUGAGAGAGACCAAGAGGAGAGACCAGAGGCUGACCUGCGAGAGACCAAGAGCAGAGACCAGAGGCUGACCUGUGAGAGACCAAGAGCAGAGACCAGAGGCUGACCUGCGAGAGACCAGAGCAGAGACCAGAGGCUGACCUGUGAGAUACCAAGAGGAGAGACCAGAGGCUGACCUGUGAGAGACCAAGAGCAGAGACCAGAGGCCGACCUGUGAGAGACCAAGAGCAGAGACCAGAGGCUGACCUGCGAGAGACAAGAGCAGAGACCAGAGGCUGACCUGCGAGAGACCAGAGCAGAGACCAGAGGCUGACCUGCGAGAGACCAGAGCAGAGACCAGAGGCCGACCUGCGAGAGACCAGAGCAGAGACCAGAGGCUGACCUGCGAGAGACCAGAGCAGAGACCAGAGGCUGACCUGCGAGAGACCAGAGCAGAGAGACCAGAGGCUGACCUGCGAGAGACCAGAGCAGAGACCAGAGGCUGACCUGUGAGAGACCAAGAGCAGAGACCAGAGGCUGACCUGCGAGAGACCAGAGCAGAGACCAGAGGCUGACCUGUGAGAGACCAAGAGGAGAGACCAGAGGCUGACCUGUGAGAGACCAAGAGCAGAGACGAGAGGCUGACCUGCGAGUGACCAGAGCAGAGACCAGAGGCUGACCUGUGAGAGACCAAGAGCAGAGACCAGAGGCUGACCUGUGAGAGACCAAGAGCAGAGACCAGAGGCUGACCUGCGAGAGACCAAGAGCAGAGACCAGAGGCCGACCUGCGAGAGACCAGAGCAGAGACCAGAGGCCGACUUGCGAGAGACCAGAGCAGAGACCAGAGGCCGACCUGCGAGAGACCAGAGCAGAGACCAGAGGCUGACCUGUGAGAGACCAAGAGCAGAGACCAGAGGCUGACCUGAGAGAGACCAAGAGGAGAGACCAGAGGCUGACCUGAGAGAGACCAGAGCAGAGACCAGAGGCUGACCUGAGAGAGACCAAGAGGAGAGACCAGAGGCUGACCUGCGAGAGACCAAGAGCAGAGACCAGAGGCUGACCUGUGAGAGACCAAGAGCAGAGACCAGAGGCUGACCUGCGAGAGACCAAGAGCAGAGACCAGAGGCCGACCUGUGAGAGACCAAGAGGAGAGACCAGAGGCUGACCUGAGAGAGACCAAGAGGAGUCAACAGGAGUGUGAUGGCCUGGCCUGGACCGUACCAUUUAGGAGCUGCACCAGGGGUGUGAUGGCCUAAUCUUGACUGUACCAUGUUGGAGUUGCACCAGGGGUGUGAUGGCCUGAUCUUGACUGUACCAUGUUGGAGCUGCACCAAGGGUGUGAUGACCUGACCUGGACUGUACCAUGGACCCUACUAUUGAGGAGUAAUAACAGGUGGGGGCCAGGAGAUGUCCAGUGUGGUUUGGCUACUGUCAGAAGCUACCUUGUUAGAAGAAUCACAGCUAGGAUCCAUCCCUGCUGGACUCACUGACAGGAUUUUUCCUCAACACCAUGGAAUAGUCCCAUGGCUGUUUUGGAACGAUCCACUCCAUCAUUUCUGGAAAGGUAACUUUUUGAAGAUAGAAAUUAAGCCCCUUUUUGGAGAGCUACAGUAUUAAUGGAACGGUCUGUUCUACUACUGGACAUGGGUGACACUUUCUAUGAGAGACUGUUUGUUUUUUCUCCAGUGAGACUAUCUUUUGGGAGUAAAGUAUCAUUCAUUUCACAAUAUCUUUGUUUUAAAGACACUGACAUACUGCUUAUUCUGUUGUUGAGCACAUUUGCAGUUGUUUGAGGACACCACUCCUCCAAUCUUCCAACAAGUAAACAUUAAAAAAAUUCUGAAACAUUA